AGCCACGCAUUGAGCACAUAGCGAAUUAUUCUUUCGCCUUUUACUAAAGAAUACCGUGUGCUUGUUGCAACAAGUGGCAUACGCCAAUUUUUGGAAGGGUCUCUCUUUAGGGAAACC
rfam:Capsicum annuum cultivar Zunla-1 chromosome 12, whole genome shotgun sequence